UCUCCCGUAGCGCCGAGCUCCAUCCAGCGGGCGGGGAAAACCAACGAAUACCUGAUGGAUGGAGGCGGGGGACCCGACCGGUCCGCCGCGAGCGGACUUGGGGCCACCCUCGGCCCCUUGGGGUGAAGCCGUAGGACGCACCGCGGUGCGCCAUGGCCGGGCAGUCUUCUCCAGCCCAACCCGACGCUGACCUCGCAGGCGUAGACAGAGAGGAAUA
rnacentral:sRNA from 2 species